ensembl:lncRNA
AGAGUUCAGAUGUUUGUUGUCUUUAUAGGGGCAUGCGGCUUUAUUUGGAUUCUCCAGAGGUCAUAGAAGCUUCCUGAAACUUCGCAGGCCAGGCUUUACAACAGCUCAUAACUGGUGUCUGUGAACACACAAUAGAGCCGAUCCCGGACCACUAACAUUCCUCAGCACGGCAGGUGCACUGAAAUUCGUGGAAGCUCACAAAAUACGCUUUUGCCUUCAGUAUUCAGAUGUUUACGAUGUAAGACGAGGUGACCUGCAAUUGUUGAGUAAGAACUAAAGAGCUAUCUCUUGAUUUAACCUAUAAAAACAAGGUUCAAUUCAUGUAUUUAGUUAUAUUAAAUAAUAUUUUGACUUGAAUAAAACCUGCUAACUUUGGUGUUACCAUUUUAGGCCAUUUUUUUCACUGUAUAGAUUAACAAAAUGUAAUAAUAGUAAGAAGAAGAAUAUUGUUAUUAUUAUUAUGAAGUAAGAUAACUUCGUUUAUAAUUAUCAACCAGCAAUGAGAUAACGCAUUUUGUCAUUUAAUUACGUUAGUAACCCAGUACACAUUUAAUGUAAGCAGCUGAUUCAUUUAUUUUCGUAUAAACACAUUUUUGAAAUGAUAAUACGUUCGUCGUGUCUGCUCCAAAAAGCAAAACUCGGAUCAACUCACCUGUCUUGACUUGAGUGACAAGGAAAUAGCAUCCAAUAACACACACGAGCUGUUUUCAGAAAAGAGCGAGAAAAGCGUUAUCCGAUCAGGCGCAGUAAGGUCCAGACGGGAGUCUCCAGGAGAAUGUGGCUCUGCGCGUCUCAGUUCAAGGUCUCCAGGGCAGCACAAGCUCCGGGGCCAGUUUAAUACCUGCCGCAGGACGUUUGUCCGGUCACCCCAGCAACGAGACACCCCCUUGUAAACAGCUUCCCGUUCUUCUAUUGGUCGGGCGGUUGUUAUGGUGACUGGGCUUUUAAUCGCGAGCGCACAGGUUCGUGUUUUACGCACGUCCACUCACUCACUGACAGAGAAAGCGCGAGAGAAACGAUGCUUUACACACAAGAGACGAGGAAAACACAAGGCAGUCUGUUGUCCUGUUGAUUGGCGGAUGCUUGAAGAAGGACAGAGCUCAAGAGAUGCAGAAGCUUUGUACUGCAAUGGUUGCUUUUGUAGAGUUUCUUUAGCAGGAAACCUCUCAGCCACAUUAACAGAGCUCUCAAGAGGACAGUCUGUCUUGUAUCCUUUCAUCCUCCGUCUAUGUUACAUGUAUGUAAAAACUGAAGAAAUGUGCUCAACCUCUUAACACUUAGCGCUUUAAAUCUGUCCUGAGAGCCAGUUGUAUUGAAAGUUUAUCCCCUUGACUGUCAAUUUCAUUCUUUUAAACACAUCAGUGACUAAAAAGGACUGUAUAAUGUGUCAUUUGUGUGGAAACAAUUCUAAUACGUGUAACAUUGUGUUGCUGAAUGCAGUCUGACACCUGAACUCUUGUCAAGGAGGCUGCAGACUGUCUCAGUCCCAUUAGCAGGCAUUGUAUUGAGAGUGACGAGAGCGUUCCUGAAGCCCUUUCCUCUCUUCCAUCAGUGCCAGUCAUGUGUGAAAUCACUCCAAACGCAUCCUUUCUGUUUGACCCCGACAUAUUUGUUUUCAGUCUGAUCUGAUUGUUCAAGACCAUUUUAGACCAUCCUCUUCAAGUAAACAAUGGGUGGCUUUGAUAUCAUUACCAAACUGAGCAAUUUUAUAAAUUUGCAUGUUUUAACCAAAUUCACGUUUUUCUUAAAAAAAAGGAAAGCAGUGUCACAUUGCUAUUCUUCAUUGAAAAAUUGGUCUAAGUUUUAAAAGUCUAAAUUAGCUUCAUGAUAUCAUUAUCAAUGCUAAUAUGCCAACCCAUACUCUUCAAUUUAAUUCAUUUAUUUUUUUAAUGAAUAAUGUAGAUGGUUUCACUUAUAAUAAGUUGUUUACCACUAGAGGGUGCCAUCAUACAGCUGCUCACAACUCAGCAUUUGCAAUCGGGUUCACGUUUCAUUUUUAUCGAUUCGUUAUUUAUGAUUAUGAUAUGUUUAUUUCUUCUUUUUUCCCCAUCAUAUCAACAUUUUUCUGUUUUUGUUUAGCUAUAGAUGCUUUCGAGAAAUACUAAACUAAAAUAACAACUAAAAUUAUAGCCUAUUGUUUAAAAUAAGUUUUAACCAAUACACUGUUUAAAAUAAACUCGUAAGCAAUUGUGUAUAAAAAUCA